rnacentral:rRNA from 1 species
GAUGAACGCUAGCGGCAGGCUUAAUACAUGCAAGUCGAGGGGCAGCGCGGGUAGCAAUACCUGGCGGCGACCGGCAAACGGGUGCGGAACACGUACGCAACCUUCCCAAAACUGGGGAAUAGCCCUCCGAAAGGAGGAUUAAUACCCCGUAACAUAACGAAGUGGCAUCACUUUGUUAUUAUAGUUCCGACGGUUUUGGAUGGGCGUGCGCCUGAUUAGGUAGUUGGCGGGGUAACGGCCCACCAAGCCUACGAUCAGUAACUGGUGUGAGAGCACGACCAGUCACACGGGCACUGAGACACGGGCCCGACUCCUACGGGAGGCAGCAGUAAGGAAUAUUGGUCAAUGGACGCAAGUCUGAACCAGCCAUGCCGCGUGAAGGAUGAAGGUCCUCUGGAUUGUAAACUUCUUUUAUAUGGGACGAAAAAAGGGCAUUCUUGCUCACUUGACGGUACCAUAGGAAUAAGCACCGGCUAACUCCGUG